UGGGGAAUUUUGGACAAUGGGGGCAACCCUGAUCCAGCCAUCCCGCGUGUGCGAUGAAGGCCUUCGGGUUGUAAAGCACUUUUGGCAGGAAAGAAACGGCUCUGGCUAAUACCUGGGGCAACUGACGGUACCUGCAGAAUAAGCACCGGCUAACUACGUGCCAGCAGCCGCGGUAAUACGUAGGGUGCAAGCGUUAAUCGGAAUUACUGGGCGUAAAGCGUGCGCAGGCGGUUCGGAAAGAAAGAUGUGAAAUCCCAGGGCUUAACCUUGGAACUGCAUUUUUAACUACCGGGCUAGAGUGUGUCAGAGGGAGGUGGAAUUCCGCGUGUAGCAGUGAAAUGCGUAGAGAUGCGGAGGAACACCGAUGGCGAAGGCAGCCUCCUGGGAUAACACUGACGCUCAUGCACGAAAGCGUGGGGAGCAAACA
rnacentral:rRNA from 1 species